GGGUUGUGAGGUUAAGCGACUAAGCGUACACGGUGGAUGCCCUGGCAGUCAGAGGCGAUGAAGGACGUGCUAAUCUGCGAUAAGCGUCGGUAAGGUGAUAUGAACCGUUAUAACCGGCGAUUUCCGAAUGGGGAAACCCAGUGUGUUUCGACACACUAUCAUUAACUGAAUCCAUAGGUUAAUGAGGCGAACCGGGGGAACUGAAACAUCUAAGUACCCCGAGGAAAAGAAAUCAACCGAGAUUCCCCCAGUAGCGGCGAGCGAACGGGGAGCAGCCCAGAGCCUGAAUCAGUGUGUGUGUUAGUGGAAGCGUCUGGAAAGGCGCGCGAUACAGGGUGACAGCCCCGUACACAAAAAUGCACAUAUUGUGAGCUCGAUGAGUAGGGCGGGACACGUGGUAUCCUGUCUGAAUAUGGGGGGACCAUCCUCCAAGGCUAAAUACUCCUGACUGACCGAUAGUGAACCAGUACCGUGAGGGAAAGGCGAAAAGAACCCCGGCGAGGGGAGUGAAAAAGAACCUGAAACCGUGUACGUACAAGCAGUGGGAGCACGCUUCGGCGUGUGACUGCGUACCUUUUGUAUAAUGGGUCAGCGACUUAUAUUCUGUAGCAAGGUUAACCGAAUAGGGGAGCCGAAGGGAAACCGAGUCUUAACUGGGCGUUAAGUUGCAGGGUAUAGACCCGAAACCCGGUGAUCUAGCCAUGGGCAGGUUGAAGGUUGGGUAACACUAACUGGAGGACCGAACCGACUAAUGUUGAAAAAUUAGCGGAUGACUUGUGGCUGGGGGUGAAAGGCCAAUCAAACCGGGAGAUAGCUGGUUCUCCCCGAAAGCUAUUUAGGUAGCGCCUCGUGAAUUCAUCUCCGGGGGUAGAGCACUGUUUCGGCAAGGGGGUCAUCCCGACUUACCAACCCGAUGCAAACUGCGAAUACCGGAGAAUGUUAUCACGGGAGACACACGGCGGGUGCUAACGUCCGUCGUGAAGAGGGAAACAACCCAGACCGCCAGCUAAGGUCCCAAAGUCAUGGUUAAGUGGGAAACGAUGUGGGAAGGCCCAGACAGCCAGGAUGUUGGCUUAGAAGCAGCCAUCAUUUAAAGAAAGCGUAAUAGCUCACUGGUCGAGUCGGCCUGCGCGGAAGAUGUAACGGGGCUAAACCAUGCACCGAAGCUGCGGCAGCGACGCUGAUGCGUUGUUGGGUAGGGGAGCGUUCUGUAAGCCUGCGAAGGUGUGCUGUGAGGCAUGCUGGAGGUAUCAGAAGUGCGAAUGCUGACAUAAGUAACGAUAAAGCGGGUGAAAAGCCCGCUCGCCGGAAGACCAAGGGUUCCUGUCCAACGUUAAUCGGGGCAGGGUGAGUCGACCCCUAAGGCGAGGCCGAAAGGCGUAGUCGAUGGGAAACAGGUUAAUAUUCCUGUACUUGGUGUUACUGCGAAGGGGGGACGGAGAAGGCUAUGUUGGCCGGGCGACGGUUGUCCCGGUUUAAGCGUGUAGGCUGGUUUUCCAGGCAAAUCCGGAAAAUCAAGGCUGAGGCGUGAUGACGAGGCACUACGGUGCUGAAGCAACAAAUGCCCUGCUUCCAGGAAAAGCCUCUAAGCAUCAGGUAACAUCAAAUCGUACCCCAAACCGACACAGGUGGUCAGGUAGAGAAUACCAAGGCGCUUGAGAGAACUCGGGUGAAGGAACUAGGCAAAAUGGUGCCGUAACUUCGGGAGAAGGCACGCUGAUAUGUAGGUGAAGUCCCUCGCGGAUGGAGCUGAAAUCAGUCGAAGAUACCAGCUGGCUGCAACUGUUUAUUAAAAACACAGCACUGUGCAAACACGAAAGUGGACGUAUACGGUGUGACGCCUGCCCGGUGCCGGAAGGUUAAUUGAUGGGGUCAGCGCAAGCGAAGCUCUUGAUCGAAGCCCCGGUAAACGGCGGCCGUAACUAUAACGGUCCUAAGGUAGCGAAAUUCCUUGUCGGGUAAGUUCCGACCUGCACGAAUGGCGUAAUGAUGGCCAGGCUGUCUCCACCCGAGACUCAGUGAAAUUGAACUCGCUGUGAAGAUGCAGUGUACCCGCGGCAAGACGGAAAGACCCCGUGAACCUUUACUAUAGCUUGACACUGAACAUUGAGCCUUGAUGUGUAGGAUAGGUGGGAGGCUUUGAAGUGUGGACGCCAGUCUGCAUGGAGCCGACCUUGAAAUACCACCCUUUAAUGUUUGAUGUUCUAACGUUGACCCGUGAUCCGGGUUGCGGACAGUGUCUGGUGGGUAGUUUGACUGGGGCGGUCUCCUCCUAAAGAGUAACGGAGGAGCACGAAGGUUGGCUAAUCCUGGUCGGACAUCAGGAGGUUAGUGCAAUGGCAUAAGCCAGCUUGACUGCGAGCGUGACGGCGCGAGCAGGUGCGAAAGCAGGUCAUAGUGAUCCGGUGGUUCUGAAUGGAAGGGCCAUCGCUCAACGGAUAAAAGGUACUCCGGGGAUAACAGGCUGAUACCGCCCAAGAGUUCAUAUCGACGGCGGUGUUUGGCACCUCGAUGUCGGCUCAUCACAUCCUGGGGCUGAAGUAGGUCCCAAGGGUAUGGCUGUUCGCCAUUUAAAGUGGUACGCGAGCUGGGUUUAGAACGUCGUGAGACAGUUCGGUCCCUAUCUGCCGUGGGCGCUGGAGAACUGAGGGGGGCUGCUCCUAGUACGAGAGGACCGGAGUGGACGCAUCACUGGUGUUCGGGUUGUCAUGCCAAUGGCACUGCCCGGUAGCUAAAUGCGGAAGAGAUAAGUGCUGAAAGCAUCUAAGCACGAAACUUGCCCCGAGAUGAGUUCUCCCUGAC
rnacentral:rRNA from 1 species